GCUACGGGGGGCAGCAGGGAGGAAUAUUGGGCAAGGGACGAGAGUCGGAACCAGCCAAGUAGCGGGAAGGAUGACGGCCCUAUGGGGUGUAAACUUCUUUUAUAAAGGAAUAAAACGAGGCACGUGUGCCUUUUUGCAUGUACCUUAUGAAUAAGGAUCGGCUAACUCCGUGCCAGCAGCCGCGGUAAUACGGAGGAUCCGAGCGUUAUCCGGAUUUAUUGGGUUUACAGGGAGCGUAGAUGGGUUGUUACGUCAGUUGUGAAAGUUUGCGGCUCAACCGUAAAAUUGCAAUUGAUACUGGCAGUCUUGAGUACAGUUGAGGUAGGCGGACUUCGUGGUGUAGCGGUGAAAUGCUUAGAUAUCACGAAGAACCCCGAUUGCGAAGGCAGCUUACUAAACUGUGACUGACAUUGAUGCUCGAAAGUGUGGGUAUCAAACAGGAUUAGAUACCCCUGUAGUC
rnacentral:rRNA from 1 species